CUCGUGAUGCCAAGGCCGCUGCGAGCAGCUAUGAAGAGUCGGGGUUGAGCCCCAGCUGAGCCGAGGGCUCGCACUCUUCUGGUCUCCCAGGACCGUCACACCUGAAGAAAUGAGUGGUGGAUUGGCUCCAAGUAAGAGCACAGUGUAUGUAUCCAGCUUGCCCUUUUCCCUGACAAUGACUUGUACCGGAUAUUUUCCAACUAUGGCAAAGUUGUAAAGGUUACCAUAAUGAAAGAUAAAGAUAUCAGGAAGAGUAAAGGGGUUGCAUUUAUUGUAUUUUUGGAUAAAGACUGAACAAAACUGUACCAGGGCAAUAAACAACAAACAGUUAUUUGGUAGAGUGAUAAAAGCAAGCAUUGGCUGGCAUUGCUAUUGACAAUGGAAGAGCAGCUGUGUUCAUCUGAAGGCGAAACUACUUUGAUAAAUCCAAGUGUUAUGAAUGUGGGGAAAAUGGACACUUAAGUUAUGCCUGUCCGAAAAAUAUGCUUGGAGAACGUGAGCC
rnacentral:lncRNA from 10 species